rnacentral:rRNA from 1 species
AGAGUUUGAUCCUGGCUCAGGAUGAACUCUAGCGACAGGCCUAACACAUGCAAGUCGAGGGGCAUCGGGGCGAGGAGCAAUCCUUGCCGCCGGCGACCGGCGCACGGGUGAGUAACGCGUAUGCGACCUGCCCGUUGCAGGGGGAUAAUCGGGAGAAAUCCCGUCUAAUACCGCGUAAUGCCGCGGGGCUGCAUGGCCCUGCGGCCAAAGGGAGCGAUUCCGGCAACGGAUGGGCAUGCGUGACAUUAGCUAGUUGGCGGGGCAACGGCCCACCAAGGCGACGAUGUCUAGGGGUUCUGAGAGGAAGGUCCCCCACACUGGUACUGAGACACGGACCAGACUCCUACGGGAGGCAGCAGUGAGGAAUAUUGGUCAAUGGGCGCGAGCCUGAACCAGCCAAGUCGCGUGAGGGAUGACGGCCCUACGGGUUGUAAACCUCUUUUGUCGGGGAGCAAAUUCCGUUACGUGUAACGGAGUCGAGAGUACCCGAAGAAAAAGCAUCGGCUAACUCCGUGCCAGCAGCCGCGGUAAUACGGAGGAUGCGAGCGUUAUCCGGAUUUAUUGGGUUUAAAGGGUGCGUAGGCGGACUGUCAAGUCAGCGGUAAAAUACGGGGGCUCAACCUCCGCCCGCCGUUGAAACUGACGGUCUUGAGUGGGCGAGAAGUAUGCGGAAUGCGUGGUGUAGCGGUGAAAUGCAUAGAUAUCACGCAGAACUCCGAUUGCGAAGGCAGUAUACCGGCGCCCAACUGACGCUGAAGCACGAAAGCGUGGGUAUCGAACAGGAUUAGAUACCCUGGUAGUCCACGCAGUAAACGAUGAAUACUAGCUGUCCGGGGCGAAUGAGCCCUGGGUGGCACAGCGAAAGCGUUAAGUAUUCCACCUGGGGAGUACGCCGGCAACGGUGAAACUCAAAGGAAUUGACGGGGGCCCGCACAAGCGGAGGAACAUGUGGUUUAAUUCGAUGAUACGCGAGGAACCUUACCCGGGCUCAAACGACACAGGAACGUACCUGAAAGGGUUCGGCUCUACGGAGCCCGUGUCGAGGUGCUGCAUGGUUGUCGUCAGCUCGUGCCGUGAGGUGUCGGCUUAAGUGCCAUAACGAGCGCAACCCUUAUCUUCAGUUACUAACAGGUCAUGCUGAGGACUCUGGAGAGACUGCCGUCGUAAGAUGUGAGGAAGGUGGGGAUGACGUCAAAUCAGCACGGCCCUUACGUCCGGGGCUACACACGUGUUACAAUGGGAGGUACAGAAGGCCGCUACCUGGCGACAGGAUGCCAAUCCCCAAAACCUCUCUCAGUUCGGAUCGAAGUCUGCAACCCGACUUCGUGAAGCUGGAUUCGCUAGUAAUCGCGCAUCAGCCAUGGCGCGGUGAAUACGUUCCCGGGCCUUGCACUCACCGCCCGUCAAG